ACCAGUGUAGUGUAGUGGUUAGAGUGUCGGACUAUGACUCUGGAGACCAGGGUCUGAAUCCCCACUUGGGUG